rnacentral:rRNA from 1 species
AUUGAACGCUGGCGGCAGGCUUAACACAUGCAAGUCGAGCGGGGAAAGGUAGCUUGCUACCUGACCUAGCGGCGGACGGGUGAGUAAUGCUUAGGAAUCUGCCUAUUAGUGGGGGACAACAUCUCGAAAGGGAUGCUAAUACCGCAUACGUCCUACGGGAGAAAGCAGGGGACCUUCGGGCCUUGCGCUAAUAGAUGAGCCUAAGUCGGAUUAGCUAGUUGGUGGGGUAAAGGCCUACCAAGGCGACGAUCUGUAGCGGGUCUGAGAGGAUGAUCCGCCACACUGGGACUGAGACACGGCCCAGACUCCUACGGGAGGCAGCAGUGGGGAAUAUUGGACAAUGGGGGGAACCCUAAUCCAGCCAUGCCGCGUGUGUGAAGAAGGCCUUUUGGUUGUAAAGCACUUUAAGCGAGGAGGAGGCUACCGAGAUUAAUACUCUUGGAUAGUGGACGUUACUCGCAGAAUAAGCACCGGCUAACUCUGUG